GUCUGAAACUCCAAAUACCUUAAACUUAUCUAACGAAACAGCAAAAAGCCAAGACGUUAGGGUUUCAGAUAACAAGUAGUAGGAGGUCCAAAUACGGAGAACAAAUGCCUCAAGAACAAGUCCCAGUGGGAAAUGGAGAGAAUUCCAGAAGGAAAACCCAAAUGGAAUUCUCCGAAAAAAGUAUUCGCUGUAACGCAGCUAUGACUCGAA
rnacentral:misc_RNA from 1 species